GCCAGGCGUGGUGGCACAUGCCUUUAAUCCCAGCACUCGGGAGGCAGAGGUAGGGGGAUCGCCGUGAAUUCGAGACCACCCUGAGACUACAGAGUGAAUUCCAGGUCAGCCUGGAUUAGAGUGAAACCCUACCUCGAAAAAACAAAUUAUUUAGUUUUGUUUUUUUGAGGUAGCAUCUCACUCUUAACUCAUGCUGACCUGGAACUCACUCUGUAGUCUCAGGGUGGCCUUGAACUCACAGCGAUCCUCCUACCUCU
rnacentral:sRNA from 1 species